ACUCCUCGGCGCUCCCCGGCCUGGGGCGGGUAGGAGGGGUUGGGGGAUUCCGCCAUCCCUUGUUUUGAGGCGGGAACGCAACCCUCGACCGCCCACUGCGCUCCCACCCACAAUAACACGCUGUGAUUGCAGGCUGGGUCCUCACCGUCUGCUCGCCAGUCUUCUCCUUUGAGGACUCGGAAGCCAAGGGUUGCGGGAGGCACCACCCAUCCAGCAAGUCAGGCAAGGAGAGGAGGUGUCGGAAGAGGUCCGCAUCCGUUUUCUGACUUCAGGUCUUGUAAUCUAUGUAGUCAGUUCCAUUGCUGGACUCAUCCAAAGGAAAAAGCCUGUUUGGAGUUGACCUGAGAUGGAAAUGCAAAAGGAGGCCUCAGGGGUUCCAGCUCACCUCUGACUCCAAACUGAGUGGUUACUGCAGUUGCCAAUCUAUGUGAAAACAAAAGAAAACAUCUUGUGAACUACCAAGUAAAUAGGUUGGAAAGUGACUGAAGUUAGAAAACAAUCUACGUGUAACUUCUGAAGUUGUAUUUAGAUCUCAACAGAGACAUCACUUCCUCAGAUGAGUUUCCUCUGACACCCACCUCCAGCACAGACCGAGUCCUCUGCGCCUCUUAUGUCACCACCGUCACCCGCGCUUCAUUCUGGGAAGCUGACUGCCAUGUUGUGACGAUACUCAAGCAGCCUGUGGAGAGCCAACAUUGGGGAAACAGAGGCCUCCUAUUGAGGGCCAGCACCAACCUGCCAGUCACACAAAUAAGCCCCCUUAAAAGCAGAUCCUCCAGCUCCAGCCAAACAUUCAGAUGACUGCAGACCUGGCUGACUUGAUUACCACCUCAAGAGAGACCCCACAUCAGAAACACCCAGCUAAGCCACUCUCAAAUUCCCGACCCACAGAAACUGUGAGGAUAAUAAAUGUUUAUUGUUCUUUUAA